CCCGCCGUGGCCGCCAUCUUGGGCUCGGGACGAGGCGCCUGCCCGGGGCCGCGAGCUGCUGUGGGGAAAGAGGGAGCAAAAGCUCAAAACAGGCCUGGUGCCUCUCAGAACCUCCUUGGCUGUGCUACGUGAGCUGCCAAGGCCCUCAGUAUGGACACCCAUUCUCUUGUGUCCAGUUCCGGGCUUUUUAAUGUGACACCAAAAACAUUGCGGUGAAUCAAACUCCCAAACUCUUUGUUUUAUAGUAUUGGGGAGUAGGCGUCACUUUAGUCCCUGCUAGGGUGCAUAGCAGGUAACUCCAGCCACAUGCCCUCCAUUUCCAAAAUUUUCACUCACAUAUUUUCAGCAAACAACUUAUUGGUUCUAAAUGGUGUCAUUCUCUUCAUUAAUUACUGUUCUAUUAGUUAGUGGUUUCUAGUGCUUAUUAGUCCACAUUUUUCAGCCUUUUUUUCCCAACAGAGUCUACAGUACUUAGGUUGCAAUGUCUUUGUUAGUUUCUUCUGGUUAUUGUAAUUUAUCUUUGGAGUGCCAAAAUUUUGGAUCUUUGGUGUCCAGCUUCCCUUUGUUCCUUGAAGCUUAUCCAGACUUACCGUGACCGAUGGUGUGGCACUGGAUGGUAAUGAAGCCAAUUAACUGGGAUCCCUGUCCUGAGGUUCAGGCAUUGGCCAGAGGAUCAGGAAAAGACCAGGAAUUCUCAACCACUGGAGGCAACUCUUGUCAAGAGUGAGGGAAAGAUACCUUUUAGAGGAAGACUUUUCAGUGUGCCAAGACAAGUGGAACACUUGGAAGGUAUCUGGUGCCUGAGAGAAUUAGCUGUGCUGGAGAUAAUAUUUUCAGGUAAUGAACAAUUCCCUAAUAAUCCAGACGGCGUCCACUGAACACAAAAUAUGUGAUCAUGUGCCAAGUCAUUGGAAGUGUUGGCAUGGAAGGAGGGAGAAGAAGUGGGAAUUCUGGUUUGGCAGACUCCAGACACAUAAAAAAACUAUCUCCGCCCCAUUGUGGGCCUACAUCUCAUCCAUGGAAAGAAUAACAGAGGAUUUCUGGAAUUUAAGAGAGUAAAUUAAAGAAAGGAGGGCCACCAGAAACUUUUAGAGUACCUUAAAGAGGAAAUUUUCCAUGCCCUACCAGUACAGACCAGAGUCUCUGCUAUUAGGAGCAGGCAUCCCCCUGCUCAAGAGAGAGGAUACACUCCACCACAUGUGUAACAUGUGGUUCUACCUGCAUGGAGAAAACAUGAGGAGCUGGGAUGAAAAACCCACCUCUGCCCUAGCAGCAUGGGUAUGUGAGUUGAGAGGAGGAAUGACUACCACAGGAAGCUCUUAGAGGAUAAAUGCUGCUCCAGUUUCCCAUGGGCAUGCCCCUAGGCACAGUAGAAGGGAUGAUGUUGUGUCCAAACCUCUCCAGGCCAGGAUGUACAGGGAUCACGCAUGUAGCUGGCAGAUCGGGUACGAUGUACAACACUUAGCCGUUGUAAGAAGAUCAGGAACCUGGAAAACAGCAUUUAGAAAUGGAGAUGGAUAGAACACAGCUUCACAUCAUAGAAUGGAAGUGGAGAACCUGUCCUGUUCUUCCUGGAGUAGGGGAAAUCCCAGUCCUGGAUGACUCUGUGCUCCCCGAGGCAAGAGAGGCUGCCCAAAUGCUUCCCAGCAGCACAGUUCCCAGCCAGGCCCUUUCCCUCUGCUCUAAAUUCCCUCCAUGCCCCAGCCAAGGGAAGUAAAGGAAGAGAAGACAUUUAAUUGUUCCUUCUUUCUGCAAGAAAAGUUAUUUUUGGAGUCUUUGGGACAACGCAGCAGAACAUCAGGACUUGAACAUGAAGGAGCUGGGCACAACUCCAGGGCUACACCUACAGCCAAGUGAGAGGAGGAGAGUCCCUGGUGCCUGUGGGGAACAGAGAGCUCUGAGGGGUACCAGGAGCUCUGAGGUGGCAUCCCACAAACUGGAUAAGGCACCCACUUAGCACCACAUGCCUCUGAGUAACAACUCAGGCCCUGGAGCUGUACAAAAGGUGCAGAACAAAGGAUCAACAUUACAACCAGGAGUAAAACUGCAAUAUGAGUAAUAAAUUAAUUUCAUUUUCAUUUAUUAAACACGGAUCACAUAGAACUCAGCACAAUUUACAGCAGAUACAGAGUGAUUAAAUCCUUUAUCAAUCUCUUCA